CCUACGGGGGGCUGCAGUGGGGAAUAUUGGACAAUGGGGGCAACCCUGAUCCAGCCAUGCCGCGUGUGUGAAGAAGGCCCUCGGGUUGUAAAGCACUUUCAGUGAGGAAGAACGCCUGGUGGUUAAUACCCAUCAGGAAAGACAUCACUCACAGAAGAAGCACCGGCUAACUCCGUGCCAGCAGCCGCGGUAAUACGGAGGGUGCGAGCGUUAAUCGGAAUUACUGGGCGUAAAGCGCGCGUAGGUGGCUUGAUAAGCCGGUUGUGAAAGCCCCGGGCUCAACCUGGGAACGGCAUCCGGAACUGUCAAGCUAGAGUGCAGGAGAGGAAGGUAGAAUUCCCGGUGUAGCGGUGAAAUGCGUAGAGAUCGGGAGGAAUACCAGUGGCGAAGGCGGCCUUCUGGACUGACACUGACACUGAGGUGCGAAAGCGUGGGUAGCAAACAGGAUUAGAUACCCCAGUAGU
rnacentral:rRNA from 1 species